AUAUGGUGACAUUGGGACGUCCCCGCUGUAUGUCUAUGCUAGCACCUUCAGUCAAGGGAUUGGCGAGGAAGAUGACAUCUUGGGCGUCCUGUCCCUGAUCAUCUACACGCUGAUCUUGAUACCGAUGCUGAAGUAUGUCUUCAUCGUGCUGCAGGCCAACGACCAUGGUGAUGGUGAGUCAAUGCAGCCAGAGUCAGUUCUGUGUUAAUUCUACGAUAAAAGUCCACCCAUAAAGCUUUGAUAAUUCUACGAGCAUGAUCUCAAUUACUUUGGUCGCUUCAAAGUUGGAUCGGUUUGGCAGCUGACAUGGGUAGAUAAAAAUCUUAGGAAAAUAGCAUAGCUUGCCAAAUCAUGUCAUGUACAGAGAAGGGUUCUACCAGCAGAAAAAAUUUCAUGAUUCUUACUCUUUCAGGUGGAAGCUUUGCCCUGUACUCUUUGAUAUGUCGCUAUGCCAGAGUGGGUCUGGUUCCUAAUCAGCAGGUGGAGGACAUGA
rnacentral:lncRNA from 1 species